rnacentral:rRNA from 1 species
CGUACCAUUAGCUAGUAGGCGGGGUAAGAGCCCACCUAGGCUACGAUGGUUAGCGGGUCUGAGAGGAUGAUCCGCCACACUGGAACUGGAACACGGACCAGACUCCUACGGGAGGCAGCAGUGAGGAAUUUUGCGCAAUGGGGGCAACCCUGACGCAGCGACGCCGCGUGGGUGAUGAAGGCUUUCGAGUCGUAAAGCCCUGUCAAGUGGGAAGAAACGUUGACGUAUGAAUAGUGCGUCAAUUUGACGGUACCGCUAAAGGAAGCACCGGCUAACUCCGUGCCAGCAGCCGCGGUAAUACGGAGGGUGCAAGCGUUGUUCGGAAUUACUGGGCGUAAAGGGCGCGUAGGCGGCGCUGUAAGUCAGAUGUGAAAGUCCACGGCUCAACCGUGGAAGUGCAUCUGAUACUGCAGCGCUUGAGUAUCGGAGGGGAAAGUAGAAUUCCCGGUGUAGAGGUGAAAUUCGUAGAUAUCGGGAGGAAUACCGGUGGCGAAGGCGACUUUCUGGACGAAUACUGACGCUGAUGCGCGAAAGCGUGGGGAGCAAACAGGAUUAGAUACCCUGGUAGUCCACAGCUGUAAACGAUGUACACUAGAUGUUGGGGGUGUUGACCCCUCCAGUGUCGCAGCAAACGCAUUAA